CCUUAGAGUUUGAUCCUGGCUCACAACGAACGCUGGCGGCAGGCUUAGCACAUGCAAGUCGAACGCCUCUCUUCGGAGGUGAGUGGCAGACGGGUGAGUAACGCGUGGGAACGUACCCUUCAGUUCGGAAUAACCCAGGGAAACUUGGGCUAAUACCGGAUACGUCCGUAAGGAAAAAGAUUUAUCGCUGAAGGAUCGGCCCGUGUCGGAUUACCUGGUUGGUGAGGUAACGGCUCACCAAGGCGACGAUCCGUAGCUGGUCUGAGAGGAUGAUCAGCCACACUGGGACUGAAACACGGCCCAAACUCCUACGGGAGGCAGCAGUGGGGAAUAUUGGUCAAUGGGCGCAAGCCUGAACCAGCCAUGCCGCGUGAGUGAAGAAGGCCUUAGGGUUGUAAAGCUCUUUCAGCGGGGACGAUAAUGACGGUACCCGCAGAAGAAGCCCCGGCUAACUUCGUGCCAGCAGCCGCGGUAAUACGAAGGGGGCUAGCGCUGUUCGGAAUUACUGGGCGUAAAGCGCGCGUAGGCGGGCAUUUAAGUCAGGGGUGAAAUCCCAGGGCUCAACCCUGGAACUGCCUUUGAUACUGGAUGCCUGGAGUUCGGGAGAGGUGAGUGGAACUCCGAGUGUAGAGGUGAAAUUCGUAGAUAUUCGGAGGAACACCAGAAGCGAAGGCGGCUCACUGGCCCGAUACUGACGCUGAGGCGCGAAAGCGUGGGGAGCAAACAGGAUUAGAUACCCUG
rnacentral:rRNA from 1 species